rfam:Theobroma cacao cultivar Matina 1-6 chromosome 5, whole genome shotgun sequence.
GUCGGUAUGUCCGAGUGGUUAAGGAGACAGACUUGAAAUCUGUUGGGUUUCACCCGCGCAGGUUCGAAUCCUGCUGCCGACG